AGCAGCCGCCGCGGGAAUACGUAGGGUGCAAGCGUUAAUCGGAAUUACUGGGCGUAAAGCGUGCGCAGGCGGUUAUAUAAGACAGAUGUGAAAUCCCCGGGCUCAACCUGGGAACUGCAUUUGUGACUGUAUAGCUAGAGUACGGCAGAGGGGGAUGGAAUUCCGCGUGUAGCAGUGAAAUGCGUAGAUAUGCGGAGGAACACCGAUGGCGAAGGCAAUCCCCUGGGCCUGUACUGACGCUCAUGCACGAAAGCGUGGGGAGCAAACAGGAUUAGAUACCCGGUAGUCCCUGUCUCUUAUACA
rnacentral:rRNA from 1 species